GAUGAACGCUGACAGCAUGCUUAACACAUGCAAGUCAACUGUGGCGGACGGGUGAGUAACGCGUAAAGAACUUGCCUAACAGCUAGGGACAACAUUUGGAAACGAAUGCUAAUACCUGAUACUGUGAGAGAGCUUGGCGUCCCCUUAGCUAGUUGGAGCGGUAACGGCUCACGAAGGCGAUGAUGGGUAGCCGGCGUGAGAGGGUGAUCGGCCAGAAGGGGACUGAGACACGGCCCGUACUCCUACGGGAGGCAGCAGUGGGGAAUAAUGGACAAUGGACCAAAGUCUGAUCCAGCAAUUCUGUGUGCCCGAUGAAGUUUUCGGAAUGUAAAGUGCUUUCAGUUGGGAAGCGGUACCAACAGAAGAAGGGACGGCUAAAUACGUGCCAGCAGCCGCGGUAAUUC
rnacentral:rRNA from 1 species